rnacentral:rRNA from 1 species
GACGAACGCUGGCGGCGUGCCUAAUACAUGCAAGUUGAGCGCUGAAGGUUGGUACUUGUACCAACUGGAUGAGCAGCGAACGGGUGAGUAACGCGUGGGGAAUCUGCCUUUGAGCGGGGGACAACAUUUGGAAACGAAUGCUAAUACCGCAUAAAAACUUUAAACACAAGUUUUAAGUUUGAAAGAUGCAAUUGCAUCACUCAAAGAUGAUCCCGCGUUGUAUUAGCUAGUUGGUGAGGUAAAGGCUCACCAAGGCGAUGAUACAUAGCCGACCUGAGAGGGUGGUCGGCCACAUUGGGACUGAGACACGGCCCAAACGCCUACGGGAGGCAGCAGUAGGGAAUCGUCGGCAAUGGACGAAAGUCUGACCGAGCAACGCCGCGUGAGGGAAGAAGGGUUUCGGAUCGGAAAACUCUGUUGGUAGAGAAGAACGUUGGUGAGAGUGGAAAGCUCAUCAAGUGACGGUAACUACCCAGAAAGGGACGGCUAACUACGUG